CCUACGGGUGGCAGCAGUAGGGAAUCUUUCACAAUGGGCGAAAGCCUGAUGGAGCAACGCCGCGUGCAGGAUGAAGGCCUUCGGGUUGUAAACUGCUUUUAUAAGCGAGAAAUAUGAUGGUAACUUAUGAAUAAGGAUCGGCUAACUACGUGCCAGCAGCCGCGGUCAUACGUAGGAUCCGAGCAUUAUCCGGGGUGACUGGGUGUAAAGAGUUGCGUAGGUGGCAUAAUAAGUAGCUAGUGAAAUCUGGUGGCUCAACCAUUCAGACUAUUAGCUAAACUGUUAAGCUCGAGACCGUUAGAGGUAAGUGGAAUUUCUAGUGUAGGAGUGAAAUGCGUAGAUAUUAGAAGGAACUCCAGUGGCGUAGGCAGGUUACUGGGACGGUUCUGACACUAAGGCACGAAAGCGUAGGGAGCAAACGGGAUUAGAUACCCUUGUAGUC
rnacentral:rRNA from 1 species